rnacentral:rRNA from 1 species
GGUUGACCUCGGAUCAGGUAGGGAUACCCGCUGAACUUAAGCAUAUCAAUAAGCGGAGGAAAAGAAACCAACAGGGAUUGCCUCAGUAACGGCGAGUGAAGCGGCAAUAGCUCAAAUUUGAAAGCUGGCGUCUUCGACGUCCGCGUUGUAAUUUGUAGAGGAUGCUUCGGCGAGGACUCCUGCCUAAGUCCCCUGGAACGGGGCGUCACAGAGGGUGAGAAUCCCGUAUGUGGCGGGCGGUCCGAGCCAUGUGAAGCUCCUUCGACGAGUCGAGUUGUUUGGGAAUGCAGCUCUAAAUGGGAGGUAAAUUUCUUCUAAAGCUAAAUAUUGGCCAGAGACCGAUAGCGCACAAGUAGAGUGAUCGAAAGAUGAAAAGCACUUUGGAAAGAGAGUUAAAAAGUACGUGAAAUUGUUGAAAGGGAAGCGCUUGCAACCAGACUCGCUCGCAGUUGCUCAGCCGGCCUCUUGGCCGGUGUACUCUUCUGCGAUCGGGCCAGCAUCAGUUCGGGCGGCCGGAUAAAGGUGUCGGGAAUGUAGCACCCUUCGGGGUGUGUUAUAGCCCGGCGCGGAAUGCGGCCAGCCUGGACUGAGGAUCUCGCUUCGGCAAGGAUGCUGGCGUAAUGGUUGUAAGCGGCCCGUCUUGAAACACGGACCAAGGAGUCUAACAUCUAUGCGAGUGUUUGGGUGUCAAACCCAUGCGCGUAAUGAAAGUGAACGGAGGUGGGAACCCCUCACGGGGUGCACCAUCGACCGAUCCUGAUGUCUUCGGAUGGAUUUGAGUAAGAGCAUAGCUGUUGGGACCCGAAAGAUGGUGAACUAUGCCUGAAUAGGGUGAAGCCAGAGGAAACUCUGGUGGAGGCUCGCAGCGGUUCUGACGUGCAAAUCGAUCGUCAAAUUUGGGUAUAGGGGCGAAAGACUAAUCGAACCAUCUAGUAGCUGGUUCCUGCCG